CCUACCGGAGGCAGCAGUGGGGAAUUUUGGACAAUGGGCGCAAGCCUGAUCCAGCCAUUCCGCGUGCAGGAUGAAGGCCUUCGGGUUGUAAACUGCUUUUGUACGGAACGAAACGGUCUGCCCUAAUACGGCGGGCUAAUGACGGUACCGUAAGAAUAAGCACCGGCUAACUACGUGCCAGCAGCCGCGGUAAUACGUAGGGCGCAAGCGUUAAUCGGAAUUACUGGGCGUAAAGCGUGCGCAGGCGGUUAUAUAAGACAGAUGUGAAAUCCCCGGGCUCAACCUGGGAACUGCAUUUGUGACUGUAUGGCUAGAGUACGGCAGAGGGGGAUGGAAUUCCGCGUGUAGCAGUGAAAUGCGUAGAUAUGCGGAGGAACACCGAUGGCGAAGGCAAUCCCCUGGGCCUGUACUGACGCUCAUGCACGAAAGCGUGGGGAGCAAACAGGAUUAGAUACCCUGGUAGUCCACGCCCUAAACGAUGUCAACUGGUUGUUGGGUCUUCACUGACUCAGUAACGAAGCUAACGCGUGAAGUUGACCGCCUGGGGAGUACGGCCGCAAGGUUGAAACUCAAAUGAAUUGACGG
rnacentral:rRNA from 1 species